GAUGAACGCUGGCGGCGUGCCUAAUACAUGCAAGUCGAGCGAACAGACGAGGAGCUUGCUCCUCUGACGUUAGCGGCGGACGGGUGAGUAACACGUGGAUAACCUACCUAUAGGACUGGGAUAACUUCGGGAAACCGGAGCUAAUACCGGAUAACAUGUUGAACCGCAUGGUUUAACAGUGAAAGACGGUCUUGCUGUCACUUAUAGAUGGAUCCGCGCCGCAUUAGCUAGUUGGUAAGGUAACGGCUUACCAAGGCAACGAUGCGUAGCCGACCUGAGAGGGUGAUCGGCCACACUGGAACUGAGACACGGUCCAGACUCCUACGGGAGGCAGCAGUAGGGAAUCUUCCGCAAUGGGCGAAAGCCUGACGGAGCAACGCCGCGUGAGUGAAGAAGGUCUUCGGAUCGUAAAACUCUGUUAUUAGGGAAGAACAAAUGUGUAAGUAACUAUGCACGUCUUGACGGUACCUAAUCAGAAAGCCACGGCUAACUACGUG
rnacentral:rRNA from 1 species